GUUAAUUAUCUUGUUUUAUGUAUUUGUGUUGUCUCGAAGGUUUAAUUGAAGAAUCAACUAGUUAUUGUAUAUUUUUGAUAUAAUUCUUUUUACUAUAGAUUAUUUGUACCGUAGGGGUAUGUGGUGUUAAUGUAUUUUUAGAAGCUGAUUUUAUUUGUUGUACCUUGUGUAUCAGGGUUCAUUGAAUUUUAUUAUUUAUUUUUGUUUCCCGAUUUUAAAGGAGUUAAUGGUUUAUUUUAGUUAUUGUUUCAUUAUUAUUAAUAAUAGGCUGUUGGUAGUGAAAUGUUAUUCGUCUUUAGUGGUUUCUGGUUUUCCAAGAAAUGAAUUUAAUUCAUGCUCUUUGUUUAAUGUUUACUUUUGGUUUUAUAUGUUUUUAUAUUGAGCUAAGAUUAGGGGGGAUUAGCUCCUUAUUCUACUUUUAUAAUUUUAUUUAUUUUAUUUAGUUUUGUGGAUUUUAUGGUGAUUUUCAAUUUGAUUAUGUUAAAAUUUUAUUUAUACUUUUUCUUAUUUGUUGUUAAUUUAAUUUGUUUAUUGGAAUGUUUUCUUUAUUUAUUUUUGUUUAGUAAUUAUUGUGUAAUUAGUAAAUUUUGCUUUAUGUUGUUUGUUGUUGUGUUAAAUUCUUUUGAGGAAUUAGGCAANNNNNNNNNNNNNNNNUGUUUAACAAAAACAUCUCUUCUUGUUAGUUUUUGAAGUAUGGCCUGCCCACUGACGCUUAUUGUUGAAGGGCCGCGGUAUUUUGACCGUGCAAAGGUAGCAUAAUCAUUAGUUCUUUAAUUGUGAUCUGGUAUGAAUGGCUUGACGAGAUAUGAACUGUCUUAGUUAUAUGAAUAUUUAAUUGAACUUGGUUUUUGAGUUAAAAUUCUUAAAUGGUUUUAUGGGACGAGAAGACCCUAUAGAGUUUGACAUUUAGACUUACUUUAUUUGUUUUGUUUGUUUGAUUUUAUUGAGUGAUUUAGGUGUUUUGUUGGGGUGAUGGGAGGAAUUUAUAUAACUCCUCUUUUUUUGGUAUAUUUGUAUAUAUGUUUUUGAUCCAUUUGUUUUGAUUAUAAGAUUAAAUUACCUUAGGGAUAACAGCGUUAUCUUCCUUGAGAGUUCUUAUUGGCGGGGAGGUUUGCGACCUCGAUGUUGGAUUAAGGUUAAUUUUCGGUGUAGGAGCUGAAAUGAUUGGGUCUGUUCGACCUUUAAAAUCUUACAUGAUCUGAGUUCAGACCGGCGUGAGCCAGGUUGGUUUCUAUCUAUAAUGAUAUUUUAUACCUCAGUACGAGAGGACCGGGUAUUUGGAAUAAUUUUAUUUUGUAUGAUUGUUAUUAAUGUUAGUUACUAUUUUGGCAGAUAAGUGCGUUGGAUUUAGAAUCUAUUAA
rnacentral:rRNA from 1 species